CACGUAGGGUGCAAGCGUUAAUCGGAAUUACUGGGCGUAAAGCGUACGCAGGCGGCUUUGCAAGACAGGUGUGAAAUGCCCGGGCUUAACCUGGGAACUGCAUUUGUGACUGCAUGGCUAGAGUUUGGCAGAGGGGGGUAGAAUUCCACGUGUAGCAGUGAAAUGCGUAGAGAUGUGGAGGAACACCGAUGGCGAAGGCAGCUCGCUGGGACGGUACUGACGCUGAGGCGCGAAAGCGUGGGGAGCAAACAGG
rnacentral:rRNA from 1 species